rnacentral:rRNA from 1 species
GUGGGGAAUAUUGGACAAUGGGCGAAAGCCUGAUCCAGCCAUGCCGCGUGUGUGAAGAAGGUCUUCGGAUUGUAAAGCACUUUAAGUUGGGAGGAAGGGCAGUAAGUUAAUACCUUGCUGUUUUGACGUUACCGACAGAAUAAGCACCGGCUAACUUCGUGCCAGCAGCCGCGGUAAUACGAAGGGUGCAAGCGUUAAUCGGAAUUACUGGGCGUAAAGCGCGCGUAGGUGGUUUUGUACGUUGGAGGUGAAAUCCCCGGGCUCAACAUGGGAACUGCCUCCAAAACUGCAUGACUAGAGUACGGUAGAGGGUAGUGGAAUUUCCUGUGUAGCGGUGAAAUGCGUAGAUAUAGGAAGGAACACCAGUGGCGAAGGCGACUACCUGGACUGAUACUGACACUGAGGUGCGAAAGCGUGGGGAGCAAACAGGAUUAGAAACCCUUGUAGUCC